UUUGUCUUGGCCAUACCACCCGGAACACACCCAAUCUGGUCUGAUCUCAGAAGCUAAGCAGGGUCAGGCCUGGUUAGUACUUGGAUAGGAGAAAUCAAGACCCAGGGGCUGGCAAAA
rnacentral:rRNA from 1 species